GGGCUUGUGGCCUAAUGGUUAAGGCGCCAGAUUUCGGUUCUUUUAACUCUCUGUUACCUAACCUGAUCCUCUGGAGAUUGUCGGUUCGACUCCGGUCAAGCUCG